rnacentral:rRNA from 1 species
UUAAAGGAAUUGACGGAAGGGCACCACCAGACGUGGGGCCUGCGGCUUAAUUUGACUCAACACGGGAAAUCUCAUCAGGCCAGGACACUGGAAGGAUUGACAGAUUGAGAGCUCUUUCUUGAUUCGGUGGGUGGUGGUGCAUGGCCGUUCUUAGUUGGUGGAUCGAUUUGUCUGCUUAAUUGCGAUAACGAACGAGACCCUCGCCUGCUAACUAGUCGACUCCGCCAUCCCUUGCGCAGGCGGCGACUACCAAUCUUCUUAGAGGGACGGGCGGCUUCUAGCCGCACGAAACUGGGCAAUAACAGGUCUGUGAUGCCCUUAGAUGUUCUGAGCAGCACGCGCGCCACACUGAAGGGAUCAACGAGUGUGUUCCUAGCCCGAGAGGGCCGGGUAACCCGUUGAAACCCCUUCGUGAUUGGGAUUGGGGCUUGCAAUUGUUCCCCAUGAACGAGGAAUGCCUAGUAAACGGAAGUCAUAAGCUUCCGUUGAUUAUGUCCCUGCCCUUUGUCCACACCGCCCGUCGCUACUACCGAUUGAAUAUUUUAGUGAGGUCUUCGGACCAGCCUUCGGGGCCCCCCGGGGUUCCCCCUGGCCGGGAAGAUGACCGAACUUGAAUAUUUAGAGGAAGUAAAAGUCGUAACAAGGUUUCC